GGAAAUGGCAACCCACUCCAGUGUUCUUGCCUGGAGAAUCCCAGGGACAGGGGAGCCUGGUGGGCUGCCGUCUCUGGGGUUGCACAGAGUCGGACAUGACUGAAGCGACUUAGCAGCAGCAGCAGCUAAAAACUCAAUCUCAUUCAACUCUUGUAAGAAUCUCAUUAGAUUUUUCCAUUGGGGCUUCAGUAAGGCGAGAGUGCAGAAAAGUCCCUGAAAAGACACAACAGAAAUUGAUAACUACAGCGGUGUCUCCAAGCAAGAAAAGGGCUUGCACAGUCAUAGGUGAAUGUGGCCAGGGCUUUAAAAGACAGUGAGCCGAUGAGCCAAAACCUAAAGUCGCGGCACUACAGGGUGGCUCGCCUGGGGUCACCAGCAAGCUACAGUGA
ensembl:lncRNA